AAAAAAAAAAAAAAAAAAAAAAAACAAAAAAAAAAAAAAAAACAAAACAAAAACAAAAAAAAAAAAAACAAAAAAAAAAGAGGAAAUUGGAAAUUGGGAAAUUCAACAAAGCUUCAUCAAUGGAACACAACUACAAAUCUCAAAAGCUUUGCACUAUCUUCAUCAAGAUAGUGUGAAGCAAAAUCAAUUUAUGGUGCCAACAA
rnacentral:lncRNA from 1 species